UGAGCAUCAAGAUUAAAAGUUUUUAUAACAUUAUAUAAGCAUUAAGGAUAUAAAUAUAGCUCUUUUAUGUCCUUACAACUAUUUUUUUACCCUGUUUUUGGAAAAUUAAGGCUUCAUAAAAUAGGACGUUUUGGGUUUUGAACUCGAGAGUGAGGUACCAAAGUUCAAUACUUUUGCUCAAAGUUUUGCAAAUCUUACAUUUGAAUUUAAUGAGUUUUUAAAAGAGCUUAGCUCAAAGAAGUAGGAACAUUUCAGCAACACAAGCAGUGUCAUAAAAUAAGUAAACAAAACAACAUGAAAAUAG
rnacentral:misc_RNA from 1 species